GGGAGGGCUGGUUUCGUCUGUGGCGCCAAGUGAGGCUGCUGGCGGGCCACCGGCGGGGCGGGCGACGACAGCGCCCUCGUAGGCAGGCUGGCUGGUGUGUCGGGUUUCAGGGAGUGUACCGGGGAGCCGGCGUAGAGGAUUGUAUGUGUAGUAACAAAAGCAAGAUGGAACUUGGAGGACCUGUUACAUACCUUUGCACAGAGAGGCCUGAGUUUCACGGAUAUGUGCUCACCCUGCAAGACUUAGAGCUAACUAUUGUCAGGGUUCUCACUGUGAACACUUGCUGUCACAGCCCGUGGAAAUGUUUACCUAGAACGCUAUCUGAAUCACCAGCCACAAUGAACUUGUAAGUUUACCACAAGUCCAGGUACUUGAGCUCUUCGAAAGCAGACUGCCAUUGCUUCCGUGUUCUUAUCAUUCAGAGGUGAGGAGAUACAGUUCCUGCCUCUGGUUUGCAUACAGCCAAGAGGUGCAGACGCAGGUCAACAGUUGCUGUGUGCCACUCAAAAAGAGAUUCCUUAACUAUCGAUCGCGGUGAAGAAACAUCUCUGCAGACUAGAAUGUAUCAGCAGGUUGCAGGUGAACAUGGCCUUGAGGUAAAUCCUGCCCCUUGUUGAAAUUUAGUUUCAGCAGACUAUUCAUGGUAUUUUAGGAACUGGAAUAUUUUAGAGAAAAAAAAUGUUUGGUUCUGUUCUAGACUUAUUUUUUCUUCUUGUAGAAGAAACAUGUUUAAACAAAAGUUCUUUAUGCUGAGUAAUUGUGAUGCUUUAAGUUGGUCUUCUGCUUUAAGUGGAUUUUAAAUGUCAAUGGUCAAUGCCAAUUCUAGAUGUUUUUUUCUUGGUCAAAUAAAAAUUUCACUCAAACCUUACAGGUGUCGAGUUUUUAUCAUUUUAUCCAGGUUCGUAUUGCAUGUGAAAUAUUCCAUAAAACCUGUUAGAAUCCGGAAUUCAGACUUGCCUUAUCUGUGAUGCCCUACUUCCUACCUGGCGGUUUCUGUCUCAGUAGCUGAACAGUGUUGAAUACACGCAUGUGUCUAUUUUGUCUACAACGUGAAUCCUCUCUGUGCUCACACUGGCUGUACCUUCCUUAUUUCAGGCUAGUGAUCCAGAUUGGCAGGGCAGGUGUGCACGCGCGUGCAUGUGUGUGUGUGUGUGUGUAUGUAAGGAGCUGGAAGACUGUCAAGGUGAGUUGUUAAUUCAGGAAUCUGAGCUGCUGUUCAUAUCAACAGGCAGAGUUUGGAGACAGAGGAGGUGUUCAUCGUGGGAGACUUUAAGUGUGCUGGAAAACAAGUCGCGGAGCUUUCAGUUCAUCCAAAACCUUAAGUGAGGAGAUGAGCAUGUCUGCUUAGAGAGGCAUCCACAGGGCAGAAUACUAAGUUGUCUCUGAGAAUUGCUUCACAGAUGGAGUCAUUUACUCUGCAUCUUGCAUCUUAACUUACACGCUGGAAGAUGCUGUGUGCAGAGUUUUAAGAGAUAACCAGACACCUGGGCUGGAGAACUGAGAAUGCAGCUGGUGUGGCCGGGUCCUGUGGUCGCAGGAUGGGCAAGAGCAUCCAGGCAGGAAGUCCCGGAGUUGCUGGUGGGGAGACCACUUCGCCCACCAGUGCUCAGCUUGGGUCUUGGUGGGCUGGUGUCUUCUUUCCAGAAACCGUGGUGCAUUUGCUGCGUGCCCUACACUGUUGUGCACUCUCGCGUUCGUCGUUAAAUCUCCCAGUCCUAUGAAAUGGGUACUGUUUUUUCUUUGUUUAAGGGAAACAGGAGCUCUUGAAAUAGUGGGACUUUUCUAGGGUUGACGGCAAAGCAGCUACAGAGU